rnacentral:rRNA from 1 species
UACGUAGGGUGCAAGCGUUGUCCGGAAUUAUUGGGCGUAAAGAGCUCGUAGGCGGUUCGUCGCGUCGGCUGUGAAAUCCCGAGGCUCGAACCGUCGGGCCUGCAGUGGGUACGGGCAGACUAGAGUGCGGUAGGGGAGAUUGGAAUUCCUGGUGUAGGCGGUGGAAUGCGCAGAUAUCAGGAGGAAUACCGGUGGCGAAGGCGGCCUUCUGGACGGUGACUGACGCUGAGACGCGAAAGCGUGGGGAGCAAACAGG